UACGAAGGUGGCAAGCGUUGUUCGGAUUUACUGGGCGUACAGGGAGCGUAGGCGGUUGGAUAAGCCCUCCGUGAAAUCUCCAGGCUUAACCUGGAAAGUGCAGAGGGGACUGUUCAGCUAGAGGAUGGGAGAGGAGCGCGGAAUUCCUGGUGUAGCGGUGAAAUGCGCAGAUAUCAGGAAGAACACCCGUGGCGAAGGCGGCUCUCUGGGACGGUACUGACGCUGAGACGCGAAAGCGUGGGGAGCGAACAGG
rnacentral:rRNA from 1 species